rnacentral:rRNA from 1 species
GACGAGCCACACAAACGUUAUUCGGAAUUACUGGGCUUAAAGGGUGCGUAGGCUGCGCGGAAAGUUGGGUGUGAAAUCCCUCGGCUCAACCGAGGAACUGCGCCCAAAACUACCGUGCUCGAGGAAGAUAGAGGUGAGCGGAACUCACGGUGGAGCGGUGAAAUGCGUUGAUAUCGUGAGGAACACCCGUGGCGAAAGCGGCUCACUGGGUCUUAUCUGACGCUGAUGCACGAAAGCUAGGGGAGCAAACGGG